UACAGAGGGUGCGAGCGUUGUUCGGAAUUACUGGGCGUAAAGGGCUCGUAGGCGGCCAACUAAGUCGGAUGUGAAAUCCCCAAGCUUAACUUGGGAACUGCAUCCGAUACUGGAUGGCUUGAAUCCGGGAGAGGGAUGCAGAAUUCCAGGUGUAGCGGCGAAAUGCGUAGAUAUCUGGAGGAAUACCGGUGGCGAAGGCGGCAUCCUGGACCGGCAUUGACGCUGAGGAGCGAAAGCUAGGGGAGCAAACGGG
rnacentral:rRNA from 1 species